GUUUUAAUAGUUUAAAUAAAAACAAUGAUUUUGUAAUUCAUAAUUAGGUAUGUUACCUUUAAAACU
rnacentral:tRNA from 1 species